GUUGUAUGGUUAAGUGACUAAGCGUAUGUGGUGGAUGCCUUGGCAGUUAGAGG
rnacentral:rRNA from 1 species